GAUGAAGAACGCAGCGAAAUGCGACAAGUAAUGUGAAUUGCAGAAUUCAGUGAAUCAUCGAAUCUUUGAACGCACAUUGCGCCCCCUGGUAUUCCGGGGGGCAUGCCUGUUCGAGCGUCAUUUCACCACUCAAGCCUCGCUUGGUAUUGGGCAACGCGGUCCGCCGCGUGCCUCAAAUCGACCGGCUGGGUCUUCUGUCCCCUAAGCGUUGUGGAAACUAUUCGCUAAAGGGUGUUCGGGAGGCUACGCCGUAAAACAACCCCAUUUCUAAGGUUGACCUCGGAUCAGGUAGGGAUACCCGCUGAACUUAAGCAUAUCAAUAAGCGGAGGA
rnacentral:misc_RNA from 1 species